GACGAACGCUGGCGGCGUGCCUAACACAUGCAAGUCGAGCGGGGUUGAAGCGAGAGGUAACUCGAGCUUCUACCUAGCGGCGGACGGGUGAGUAACGCGUGGGCAACCUGCCUCAAGGUUUGGGAUAACAGCCCGAAAGGGCUGCUAAUGCCGGAUAUGCCUAUGGCCUCGCAUGGGGCUAUGAGCAAAGGGGAAACCCGCCUUGAGAUGGGCCCGCGUCCCAUCAGCUAGUUGGUGAGGUGAAGGCUCACCAAGGCGACGACGGGUAGCCGGCCUGAGAGGGUGACCGGCCACACUGGGACUGAGACACGGCCCAGACUCCUACGGGGGCAGCAGUGGGAGAUCUUGCACAAUGGGCGAAAGCCUGAUGCAGCGACGCCGCGUGAGCGAAGAAGGCCUCGGUUGUAAGCUCUGUCUGGAGGGACGAAGAAAGUAGACGGUACCUCCGGAGGAAGCCACGGCUAACUACGUGCCAGCAGCCGCGGUAACUAGUCUACG
rnacentral:rRNA from 1 species